GGCAUAUUGAAGAGAUACAGCAUGAGAACAUGCAGAUGUAAUGAUGCCUGCUUAGCAGUGAGGGUUUGGUCAGGGAGGAUAUGGGAGCAGGGAAAUCAGGAUAAGCCUGGACACUGCUCCUCUCAGCAAAUCCCUCUCUGCCCCUUGGUACAGGUGGCAGCAUGAGCUCCCAGGACAUCUGCAGCUCCCCAGGUACUCGUGAGUCCUUCCCUCCCAGACCCAGGGCACUUGGAAGCCCCACCACUGUGAGCUCUGCCCUAUGGCAGCCCUUCACUGCUGUGUCUCCUGCAGGGGAUCUCCUGGCUCCUGCUCUCCAAAUGAACUCAACUUCUGCUCAGCCAGGUACCACAGUUGUGCUCCAGUGUAUUCUCCCUGUGGUGUCACAUGCAAGACGAAUCAUCUUCUGCAAGGAUGGGAUGGAGGCGUACAGCCAGAAAGCCCAUCAAGGGCAGCUGAGCUACUCCGUCGUCUUGAACAUCACAUCAAGAAACGCAGGAAGAUAUACAUGUGGGUACCAGCAGACUAAUAACAUGAAACACAUGAGGAGCUCUGCCCUCAGUGCUGGCCGCAACCUGGAUGUCCCAGGUGCAUUUGCUGGCGUAACCACCCAGGACAUCUGCAGCUCCCCAGGUGAGGUUGAGCGUGGGGAUGGGUGAAAGAAGAGAGGUGUGUGUGGGGUGGUGAUGGCAAGGGAGAGGGAAUUUGUUCUCUGUGUGUGAGCUCUUGGGAAGGAAUCGUUUCCCUGCAUGGAACACAAAGCAGUUUGUGUCCAGUUCUGGAAUUCCCUGUUCAGGAGGGGCAUAGAACUACUGGAGAGAGUCCAGACGAGGGCUGCAAAGAUGGUCAGAGGUCUGGAGCUGAGAGAACUGAGCCUGUUUAACCUGGAAAAGAGGAGACUGAGGGGAGACCUCAUCCAUGUCUAUAAAUAUCUGAGGGGAGGGUGUUGAGAGGAUGGAGCUGGUCUCUUUUCGAUUGUGUCCAGGGAAAGGGCGAGAGACAAUGGGCUCAAACUGAAGCAGAGAAAGUUCCAUCUGAAUACGAGGGGCAUUUCUUUACUGGGAGGGUGACAGAGCACUGGAACAGGCUGCCCAGAGAUGCUGUGGAGUCUCCUCUGGAGAUAUUCCAAAUCCACCUGGAUGCCAUUCUGUGCAGUCUGUCCUUGCUGAUCCUGCUCAGCAGAAGGCUGGACUACAUAACUUUCAGAGGUCCCUUCCAACCUUGGCCAUUCUGUGAUUGUGUGAUCCUCUAGCCCCCAUAAUCACAGACAGAUGAGAGUGGUGGUGUUAAAUGAAGAGGCACACCUCUGCCAUGCCGUUUUUU
rnacentral:lncRNA from 1 species